rnacentral:rRNA from 1 species
UACGAGGGGUCCUAGCGUUGUUCGGAAUUAUUGGGCGUAAAGAGUAUGUAGGCGGCUAGAUAAGUCAGGUGUGAAAUCCCCGGGCUCAACCCGGGAAGUGCAUUUGAUACUGUCUAGCUUGAGUAUGGAAGAGGGUAGUGGAAUUCCUGGUGUAGUGGUGAAAUACGUAGAUAUCAGGAGGAACACCGGUGGCGAAGGCGGCUACCUGGUCCUAUACUGACGCUGAGAUACGAAAGCGUGGGGAGCAAACAGG